GCUGCCCAUCGCCCGGGAUGGGGGUUCCUCGGUGGCCCGGCAGGGGGAAGGCGGAUGGCAGGUGGCAGCAGCGGGGACGUGGGUCCUGGGCUGAGCUGAGAUUGCGGAUGGGGUUUCUUUCCUUUCCUUUUCUGAUUUCUUUUUUUUCUUUUUUUUUUUCGAGGGCUUUGCUGUAAAUCAACCCAAACUCCCUAGAGAGCAUCGUCUCUGUACCGCAGUGGUAGCCCCUCCUUCAGCUGGGCAUGAGGACAGGAAUGAAGCCAGCCACAGUGUGGGAGAGCAGCAUCCCCAUGGGACUGCCACCUCCCAGGAGUUAUGUCAUGGGGCAGGAGGUCAGGAUGUGGCUACCCCAUCCCAAACUGCAGCUUGGAGCCAAGAGAGAUCCAUUUCGGAGCUCUGCUCACUCAACUCAGGAGUUCAGCCACCUCCUACUGCAGCGUGGCAGGAGUUAUUCAAAGGCAGGCGGAAGCGAGCACAGCAACUGA
rnacentral:lncRNA from 1 species